rnacentral:rRNA from 1 species
AGUGAACGCUGGCGGUAGGCCUAACACAUGCAAGUCGAACGGCAGCACAGUAAGAGCUUGCUCUUACGGGUGGCGAGUGGCGGACGGGUGAGGAAUACAUCGGAAUCUACUUUUUCGUGGGGGAUAACGUAGGGAAACUUACGCUAAUACCGCAUACGACCUACGGGUGAAAGCAGGGGAUCUUCGGACCUUGCGCGAUUGAAUGAGCCGAUGUCGGAUUAGCUAGUUGGCGGGGUAAAGGCCCACCAAGGCGACGAUCCGUAGCUGGUCUGAGAGGAUGAGCAGCCGCACUGGAACGUAGACACGGUCCGGACGCCUACGGGCGGCAGCAGUGGGGAGUAGUGGACAAGGGGGGCGAGCCUGAUCCAGCCAUACCGCGUGGGUGAAGAAGGCCUUCGGGUUGUAAAGUCCUUUUGUUGGGAAAGAAAAGCAGCAGGUUAAUACCCCGCUGUUAUGACGGUAACCAAAGAAUAAGCACCGGCUAACUUCGUG